UACGUAGGGGGCAAGCGUUGUCCGGAAUCAUUGGGCGUAAAGAGCGUGUAGGCGGCUCGGUAAGUCCGCUCUGAAAGCCCGGGGCUCAACCCCGGGAGGCGGGCGGAUACUGUCGGGCUAGAGUCCGGAAGAGGCGAGUGGAAUUCCUGGUGUAGCGGUGAAAUGCGCAGAUAUCAGGAGGAACACCAAUGGCGAAGGCAGCUCGCUGGGGCGGUACUGACGCUGAGACGCGAAAGCGUGGGGAGCAAACAGG
rnacentral:rRNA from 1 species